rnacentral:rRNA from 1 species
CAGCCGCCGCGGGAAUACGAAGGGUGCAAGCGUUACUCGGAAUUACUGGGCGUAAAGCGUGCGUAGGUGGUGGUUUAAGUCCGUUGUGAAAGCCCUGGGCUCAACCUGGGAAUUGCAGUGGAUACUGGGUCACUAGAGUGUGGUAGAGGAUAGUGGAAUUUCCGGUGUAGCAGUGAAAUGCGUAGAGAUCGGAAGGAACAUCUGUGGCGAAGGCGACUAUCUGGGCCAACACUGACACUGAGGCACGAAAGCGUGGGGAGCAAACAGGAUUAGAGACCCCUGUAGUCUCUGUCUCUUAUAC